UACGUAGGGUGCAAGCGUUGUCCGGAAUUAUUGGGCGUAAAGAGCUCGUAGGCGGUUUGUCGCGUCUGCUGUGAAAACUCGGGGCUUAACCCCGGGCCUGCAGUGGGUACGGGCAGACUAGAGUGCGGUAGGGGAGACUGGAAUUCCUGGUGUAGCGGUGAAAUGCGUUGAUAUCAUCAGGAACACCGGUGGCGAAGGCGGCUCACUGGGUCUCAACUGACGCUGAGGUACGAAAGCCAGGGUAGCGAACGGG
rnacentral:rRNA from 1 species